UUAUGAUGUACCAAACAGGCAAAACAGCAGCAAGUAGAACAGGAUGCAGAAGGAGGUCACCGCCCUGACACCCAGUGCCGUGAAGAUCAAGAUCAUCACACCCUCAAGAGUGCAAGUACUCUGUGUGGAUUGGAGGCUCCAUCCUGGCCUCACUGUACACCUUCCAGCAGACGUGGAUUAGCGAGCAGGAGUACCAAGUCAGGCUCCUCCAUCAACUACUGCAAAUGCUUCUAAAUGGACUGUGAGCAGAUGCAUAGCAUUUGCUGUAUGGGUUAACUCAGAAGCAUAAAUUUGCCCCUGGCAAAUGCGUAGACUUCAUGCUAGCCUCACAAAAUAGGAAUAAGCCUUUGAAAAUAAAUUGUCCUUGAAGCCUGUAUCUGAUGUCAGAACUGGACUGUAGAAUGUGUUGCUGAUUUUGACCUUGUAUUGAAGGACAACUCUGUGAAGUGCCUACUGAACAGAUAACAAAACUGAACUCGAGGAAAUGAGCGUCAAAGCCACUAAUGCGAGUGACACAUAUCUGAGACAGGCCUCUUCAAGUCUUCCUUAUAAAUGAGAAACUGAAGACUUUUCCAACAGAAAUACUUCCGACUUCUCCAGAAGCUUUAAUUUUGCCUAAUAAGGUAAAAUGGAAUGGCGGGCCAGGUGUGUUUCUGAGAGUUCCAUUGUAUCUGAAGAUGACACUUGAUUCCUGAGAAUGGAUUGUGUUCUUUGUUGACAUCUGGAAAAUCGCUUUCUUCAUUAUAGGACGGGAGCAUGGUUAAGGACACAGUCUGAAGCCAGACAGCCAGGUGCCAUCCCAGCUGUGCCACAUAUGAGCUGCAUAAUUGCAAGGAAGUCACUUAAAAUAUUUUAGUGUCCUAACCUGUAAAUGGGCAUAUGGUAUUACUUAUAUCUGGACCCUUGGAAAUAUUGCAUAAAUAUUAGCUUAUUAUUAAUGGUAGCACUUAUUCCCAACACAUGGGUUGUACUGUGUUUUUAUAUUCCUGCUCUAGCUGAUAGAAAAGUCAGUUGGGUUUGUAAUUUUGACUUCCUCUAUUAACAUUUCUAAAGCCAGUUCAUCCAAAUGCUUCGGCAUGUGUUUUUUUAAAGGAGAUCAUGAAGGAGCCAAUAUUUAGAACAUUGGUUUGAUAUUGCGAUUGAUUUCAGAAAAUGUUUUGAGUCCUGCAAUGGAAGUCAAGUUUAAAAAAAAGACACUCAACAAACAUCAGGAUUUGUGAAAACCAGGACCAUAUCUCCAGAACACUUUUGAAGCUUUUUUCCACUCACUCAGGAAAAGACAUACCAAGUUCAAUGGUUUCUAGUC